UAGCCGCAGCUGCUUAGCACACAUGAGGCUCCACGUCUUAUGCCCAGCAACAAAACUUUUAAAAGAAAGGGGGAAAGGAAGUAUAAAAUAAAAAUGAAAGGUAUUUCAUUUUUCUGGGUGUUAGUAUUCUCAGCUCCACCCCACAGAUACUAGUAUUCUGUCUAAGCUCCACCCCCACAGUUACCUGGCAACAGCCGGAUAUGCUUGACUCACUGUAAAAGGGGCUGCUUGUCCCCUCCUCACUCUCUUGCUCUUGCCCCUUUGUCCCUUCCCUCCCUACUCCCCUCCCUCUUCCCUCCGCGUGCUCAUGGCCGGCCUUUACUCCUCUCCUCUUCUACUCUUUCUCUCUCUCUCUCUCUCCCUCUCUCUCUCUCUCCCCCUCCCUCCCUCCAUCCCUCCCUCUCUCUCAUUAAACCUUUCCACGCGGAACCAUGUUGGCCCGUUGUGGUUUGUCCGGAUGCAAGCAGACAUUUCUGCCUCAACAAUGGAUUCCGGGGUGAUGGCACUGCCUGUAUACACGCUUGGGCCCUGGUGACUAAGGACUUGGCUCUGUAACCAUAGCCACCAUUUAAAAAUAGACCAUGUGAUGAUGAUGUAAAGUUCCCCAGGCACAUGGAUGGCAUCGUCAGAAUAUGAGUAAACUCGUUUUUUCCAGACAAGCAUUUCUCUAAUACUUCAUCAACCUAAGUUCAAAUAAAGUACAUAGACAAAGGCAGAAAA